rnacentral:rRNA from 1 species
GACGAACGCUGGCGGCGUGCUUAACACAUGCAAGUCGAACGGAAAGGCCCUGCUUUUGUGGGGUGCUCGAGUGGCGAACGGGUGAGUAACACGUGAGUAACCUGCCCUUGACUUCGGGAUAACUUCAGGAAACUGGGGCUAAUACCGGAUAGGAGCUCCUGCUGCAUGGUGGGGGUUGGAAAGUUUCGGCGGUUGGGGAUGGACUCGCGGCUUAUCAGCUUGUUGGUGGGGUAGUGGCUUACCAAGGCUUUGACGGGUAGCCGGCCUGAGAGGGUGACCGGCCACAUUGGGACUGCGAUACGGCCCAGACUCCUACGGGAGGCAGCAGUGGGGAAUAUUGCACAAUGGGCGGAAGCCUGAUGCAGCAACGCCGCGUGCGGGAUGACGGCCUUCGGGUUGUAAACCGCUUUCGCCUGUGACGAAGCGUGAGUGACGGUAAUGGGUAAAGAAGCACCGGCUAACUACGUG